rnacentral:lncRNA from 1 species
GUUUUACGUUCACCAACCGGCAUGGCGCCACCAUGUGGUCGUAUUGAAAACAGCUUAAAAUGCAUUUGACGCACUAGUUUUCAAAUUACGGUUCUUUAAUUUCAAGAAUUAAGAAUUAUUUCAAAUAUUAUGCGUAAACUGAGACUUCAGUAAUAUGUUUAUUUUUCACUAUUUCAAAUUUGCAUAAAAUGUAAUGACACUCUCUGGUCAGAGAGGUUUUAAAAUCUUACAUUGCUUCUGAACCAUGCGGUUGUCAACCACAUGAGAAAAAGGGAGUAAGUACGAUAACCGGAAAAAUUUGUUCCUGUCAUAGAAGUCUACUUCAAACAAAAAUACAACGGAAUUAAGGACCACGUGGCUAGAAACUUCAAAAUGCCCAAAGUCCCUGGAGUAGGGGACCAGGAAUGGAGUUGAGAAAAGGGCUCCAGGAGCGAAGGGGCACCAGUAAUAGACAACCAGAGAUCUGGAGUGAACCUCAUCCUGCCUCUAGAGGCCGGUGGGGAUGGCAGCCCGGAAGCGGUCAUCCCAGCGUGGACGCUGUGUUCAUUUGGGACCCUGUCAUCCUCUGGGCGCUGCAGGAGCCAGAGAAGCCGACAAGAGGCAAGCGGAGUUGGAGAAAUCAGAGUGUGGCGGACAGAUCAAGAGGAGCCGGUAUGACCUGCAUGCUCCAUGGGGUCUCUGUCCAAACUGAACAUGGUGGUGCAGCUUAGGUGGCUCCAGCAUUAGGACGUCUGAGUGGCCCUGUCAGAGGUAUGGGGCCAUUCUCGGCUUGCUGUGGGUGCGCUUCCCCAAGCGCUGCACCUGCCUUCCCUGAACCUUCCUCUGCUCGCAGGCACGCUAGCGUUGCACGAGAUUUGACCCUCUCCUCACCCACACACAUACUUCAUUGAGUGUGUGCUGUAGGUUUAUGGUUUGUAUUACUUUAUAAACUGGAAAAAUUUUUUCUCAUAAUUUGAGAGACAUGGGCUAACUUCUAAAGAGAUAGUAUGUCUG